CGGAGGCGAUCCCCGACGACCCACGCACCGGCACGAGACACCCCCCCGACGCCAGCACACCCCGGACGACAGCGGGCCCCAGGCCACCAGCCCCGCCCCGCCCAAGGCUGCGCAGCGCCGCCACGCGCCGCGGCCGGUCCCCGGGCAGAUGACAGGAGAGCACGCCCCCGGACACCCAGACCACGGAUCCACCCCCGGGACGCCCCCGCCCCGGAAUGGCGCCCACGGCGCCCGGUGCACCCAGCCAGCAGACCAGCCAAUCCCGACGCGGAUCCACCAGGCCAAGAGCCACGCGCCGCGCCCCCCGCACACCCACCCAACACGACCCCCGGGGAGGCCCCAUAGCACCCCCCACCCCACACCCCUAGCCGUAACGGCCACACCCCAACCAUUGCGGCCAAACAAAAGCCCCGGAGGGUGCCCCGCCUGGCUCGUCGCGCAAGCGACAUCCCUGGCAAGGGCGCGCCCUAGGGAGCCAAGCCGAGGACCCGCAAGGGCCGACGGAGCAACCCACAGCCACACCCCGCCACCCAGCGACCCAGGAGGCAAUCGCCGACCCCGGGCAGCAGCCACCCCCAAAGCUACCCCCACCCCGGAUCCCCCCGGACCGGAGCCAAGGACCCCACCACCCCAGGCCCCCCAACGAGACCACCCCCCAGCCAACCCACCCGGCACGGCACCGCCCGCCCCCCAGGCGGGAGCCACAGCCCCCCCACCAGUGCCCCAGACCAACGGGAGCCCCCCACACCCAACCCAACAGGAUGGCGGGCGCAAGAGCAAAGGAGGAGGAGGGGGGGAGGACGAGACAGGGGGACAGGGAGCAGGAGGAAGGAGCGGCAGGGGAGCACGCAGGGCCCCAGCCCCAGAGACCAACCAGAUGCGUAUGCAAGGGGCAACAGCGCCAAAUCAAACAGCCCCGGGACCUCGUGAACACCCAGAAGGAAUGCACACCCGUGCCGAGGCAACAAGACACCCCGGCAACCCACCCCAGCCAUCCCGGCCAAGACCACCCCAGAGGCCCAAGGCGGCCCAGGCCUACAGUUGGGCUAGUGCGUUAGUAAAGAGUGGUGCUGGCAGUCGCUUGCAGGCUAGAUCAUCAGGCUUUUAAAAAUUUAGAUUUAAUGCAAUUAAAAAAGGAGUCCAACGCUCCUCAAAGCAC
rnacentral:lncRNA from 1 species